rnacentral:tRNA from 1 species
UAAGGAGCACGAUUGGAAAUCGUGUGUAGGUCUGAAGCCUACCGGAGGUUCAAAUCCUCUUCUCUGCGCCA